GGGCCCGUAGCUCAGUUGGUUAGAGCGUCGCGAUGGCAUCGCGAAGGUCGCAGGUUCGAAUCCCGUCGGGUCCA
rnacentral:tRNA from 1 species